rnacentral:rRNA from 1 species
UGGGGAAUAUUGGACAAUGGGCGCAAGCCUGAUCCAGCAAUGCCGCGUGUGUGAAGAAGGCCUUCGGGUUGUAAGGCACUUUUAUCAGGAGCGAAACGCUGUCGGCUAAUACCCGGCGGAACUGACGGUACCUGAGGAAUAAGCACCGGCUAACUUCGUGCCAGCAGCCGCGGUAAUACGAAGGGUGCAAGCGUUAAUCGGAAUUACUGGGCGUAAAGCGUGCGUAGGCGGUUUCUUAAGUCUGCUGUGAAAUCCCCGGGCUCAACCUGGGAAUGGCAGUGGAUACUGGGAGGCUAGAGUGUGUCAGAGGGUGGUGGAAUUCCCGGUGUAGCGGUGAAAUGCGUAGAGAUCGGGAGGAACAUCAGUGGCGAAGGCGGCCACCUGGGACAACACUGACGCUGAGGCACGAAAAGCGUGGGGAGCAAACAGGAUUAGAUACCCUGGUAGUCCACGCCCUAAACGAUGCGAACUGGAUGUUGGUCUCAACUCGGAGAUCAGUGUCGAAGCUAACGCGUUAAGUUCGCCGCCUGGGGAGUACGGUCGCAAGACUGAAACUCAAAGGAAUUGACGGGGUCAUAGCUGUUUCCUG